CGUCAUAGAAGGAUGUCGUGUGGUCAUAAAUUAGGGCUAUGGAAGAAAAUAAGGGAGGAUAAGAGAGACAGGUUUGGACAGUGUAAUGAUGGCAGGACUGGGGGACUAUAUUUUAUGGAGCAGACAGCCCCUUGAGCAUAAUCUGAAGGGAACAGGGAACAAGCUCUGCAGAUAACUGAGAGAAAAUAUUUUCAGCAGAGGAACUGACAACUACAAAUUUCAUGAGAGGGUUGUGUGCUUGCUAUGUUUGAGAAUGACAAGGAGCCCAGGGUGGUGGAAGAAGAAAAAAGAGAGAGAGAAUGAAAGCUGAAAUUCUGUCUUUUGGAGAACACGGGGAGGAAAUCUGCAACACCAAAUCCACCUGGUUUAGUCACCUAAUGAACCAUUCCAUUAGUAACUAAAGAUCUUUGCUUUGUUCAUGUUACCUGCAUUCGAACCUGAACUCCUUCAAAGAAAUUCUCUUUCUCCUGUUUCUAUAAAAACAAGGCUGCUAAAAUAUAUUACAUAUCAUU